UCCCAGGCUGGAGUGCAAUGGCAUGUUCUUGGCUCACUGCAACCUCUGCCUCCUGGGUUCAAGCAAUUCUGCUGCCUCAGCCUCCUGAGUAGCUGGGAUUACAGGUGCAUGCCACGACUCCCAGCUAAUUUUUUGUAUCUUUAGUAGAGACGGGGUUUCACCAUGUUGGUCAAGCUGGUCUCAAACUCCUGACCUCAUGAUCUGCCCACCUUGGCCUCCCAAAGUGCUGGAAUUACAGGCGUGAGCCACUGCGCCCAGCCCACAAUUGUUUUUAUAGAGAGGGGGUCUUGCUCCAUCACCCGUGCUGAAAUGCAGUGGCAUAAUCAUAGCUCACUGAAGCCUGGAACUCCAGGGCUCAAGCAAUCCUCCUGCCUCAGUCUCCCAAGUAGCUAAGACCACAGGUGUGCACCAUCACACCAGCUUGAUUUAUUUUUUAAUUUUAAUUUUCUGUAGAGAUGGAAGUUGCUAUGUUUUCCAGACUUGUCUUGAACUCCUGGCUUCAAGCAAUACUGCCUCAGCCUCUCAAAGUGUUGGGAUGACAGGUGAGAGCCACUGCACACAGCCAACCAUCACAAUUACUCAGAAAGAAGUGAGAGAAACUUGAUAUUUGGCAUGGAAAAAUACCUUCAUCAUUAUUCCUUGAUCCUGGUGACUACUCCUCUUUCCAUAGAUUUCUAGCCAUUACAGGCUGGUGACACCACAGGCAUACAGAUAACGCUAUUUCAGAAGACACAGAAAUGGCUUGUCUUCAGCACCGUUGGCCGUGGACAGCUCCCCAGGCAAAGCUGAGCUUUUGCUUUUGCUACCAAACCAAAUGGUCCAGCCCUUUGGUUUGUCUCCAUGCAGGGCCUGUGGCAGCCCAGAACUCGCAACCUGUGGUGGCAGAGCAUUCCACAUUUCAGAACCAAGAAGUAACAGCUACCCUCACUGGCAUAGCUUCAGCAUUUCCUCAUUUAAUCCUCACGACUCUUAUCAGGCAGAUGUUAUUUUUGUUCCUCUUUUGCAGAGAAAACUGAAGCAAAGAGAGAAGAGAUGAGUGGAAGAACCAGAACUCAAGCCUGGUUCUUUCUGACACCAAUGUCUGUGCUCUCAGUCCCUGCGCUUGUUUUCUAGUGAGCACUAGCAGACACUUGCAGAGGUCUUCACUGCCUCUCGGAUGCCCAAGCAUGGAUGUUUUCUCUAUCAUUGCAGACAAUUCAUAGUUGGAGUCUUACUAGAGCAAACUCAGCAAUCCUGGGAGGGGUAGGAAGAGAGAAGGCUUUUCCUAGCUCACCCCCUCCUGAGUUUGAAAGGGCGCUCUCAGCUUAAUGUGUCAUCUGGCAAGCAGCCAGGGGAUUAUGAAGACUGGACAAACCAUUCCAGAGUUCGCCUAUAGAUGCUAAAACAAGAGAGCCUGGGCAAUGGGAGUGAGAUCCCAUAUCAAAAAAGAAGAAGAAGAGGAAGAGGAAGAAGAAGAGGGAGAGGAAGAGGAAGAGGAAGAAGAAGAGGGAGAGGAAGAGGAAGAGGAAGAAGAAGAGGGAGAGGAAGAGGAAGAACAAGAAGAAGAAGAGGAAGAAGAAGAAGGAGAAGCUGGAACAAGGCUGCCUGCCUUAAUCCUUCUCACUAUGUGAGUUUAGGUAAGCUGUUGUCCUCUAUGUGCCUCAGUUUCCCAUUUGUAAAAGGGAUAAUAGCUUUCUACCUCAUGAGAUUAAGUGAUUUGAAUUAUGUAAUACGUUUAAAAUGGGUCUGGAAACAUAGACAGCUCUAAAUAAUUCUUUGUUGUUGUUUUUAUUAUCGUUUUAUUUUGAUGAUUCUUCAAAGAACCUUAUGUGGUAGAUAUUAUUAGUCUUAGUCCCAUUUUCUAGAUGCUAAAACUAAUAAGGUAGAAAUUGAUGAUUCACCGAAGUAACAGUAGGUGUUUAUAACACAUACUAUUCUGGCUGGCAAUGUGGUAUAACAAAUUCACAAAACUUUAUACCGUUAAACAACCACAAUUUCAUUAUGCUCAUAUAUUCUGUGGUGGAAGGACUAGAGCACUAUACAAAAAGGUUGUUUCCCUCCAUGGUAUCUGGUGUCUUAGAUGGAAAAUCCCAAAUGGUUGCUACUGAAAUCCUCUGGAGUCUUCUUAAUUUAUAUGUUUUGGAUCUAGGCUGGUAUGAAACAAAAACUGGGUCACCUGGGAUGGUUGAUUGGAGUUUCUACAUAUGGCCUCUCCAUAUGGCUUGGGCUUCCUCACAGCAUGGAGACCUUAGAGUAGUCCAACUUCAUAGAGCAGCUCAGAGCUCCAAAAUUUAAUGUUCUAGUGACAAAGUUAGAAGCUGCAUGAUCUUUAUAACCUAACCUUGGACAUCACAUACCAUCAUUUCAUACUCUAGUGGUCAAAGCAAUCACUAGCCCAACUGUGUUCAAGGCAAGAAGACAUAGACUCAUUUUCCAUGGGAGAAAUGUCAUGGACUUUGCAGCUAUGCUUUAUAGCCAACACACAAACUGUUAGACCUGAUGCUACCUUUGUGUCUAGAUGUUGACAGCUGUUACUUACUCCAUCAAGAGUACAGUGUGGCUCUUGAAAAGCUCAAAGCUCAGAGUAUGAACUACUUGAGGCACUUUCUCAGUACUUGUGAGCCCAGCUCUUGGCAGCAUUGCCAUCUUGGAAGCUAUUUGCAUUCACACUUAUGCAAUUUCUCUCCCAUGAAUAUUCAGGUUCCCACUCACUUGCCUGGGCCUGUGUGUGCCUGUGUGUGUGCAUGUGAACGUGUAUGCCUGCAUAGUAUCAGCCUCUUCUGUCUUCAUCAUUCCACCCUCCUACUUCAUUUUCCUUCCCCGCUUUUCCCUUCUACUUCUUUCUUUCCAGUGGAUUCAAUUAGUUCUCUUUGCUGCCUUAGCAAUAAAACAGUUCCCUCCGCAGCAUUUGAAUGAGUCUCUGUCAUUAUUUCAUUUAGAUUGUUGUUAUGUUUGAAAACUUCAGGGCAGGGCAGGCAGGAGGAAAGGAAUGUUAAUUUGCAGGGAGUCCCCAUUGUGUAGUGGAAGUGCUGUGGAACAGGAGCCAAGAAGCUGCCACUUGAUGUAACCAUAGGUACGUAAAUAAUUGAUGAGGAAUGCUUAAAACUGCACAACUCCUGUGUCUGCUCCUGCUGAGACCCGUGACCUUGCAGGAGAGAGCAGUUGCGCAGGUUCUGACCAUGGCCUGGUUUGCAAUGGCUGAUUGACCAACUCCUUUUGCCUUUUGAAUAGAAAUAUUUCCUCUGAAAGUGCGUGUGUGCGGAUGUGGAUGGAUGUGUGUAUUUAUGUGUGCUCAUGUGUGUAUGUAUGCAUGUGGCUUCAUUCAGUUUCCCUCCAUACACUCCUAUUAUGGAGAUGCUCUUUCACUAUGGCCAUCACUGGGAAAAUGCAGUAGGUGGCAGAGACUGCACUUAGUAUCCUUGUAAUUUGACUCACAGAAUGUCAGAGGAUGUUACACAAAGCAAGGAAUUAAGCUCCGUGAGUGCUGGAGUGACAUUGAUUAUGUAGGAAUGACAUAUAAAUAAUUACAAAGCACUCAGGGUUUUUGUUAGUAAUCUGUGUUUGGAGUCCCCUUUCAGGAGUUUGAAAUGUCAUCAUGUAGCUGAAUAGUGCUAACAGACCUGCAUUUCACUCCUGCUUCACACUGUGCUAAACAGGAAUCAUAUUUGUUACUAUGCUGAAGAACAUCUUAGUGGAAAAAAUAAAAAGGGCUGGUGUGGAGUAAGCAGGAUUAGAUUUAAAUCUAAUUGCCUUUCCUGUUUUCCACUGCUAUUUGGAUUACACACAGUGGUAGUAUUUGUGGGAAACGAGGGUUAGUUUGCUUGCUGGAAGGUACAAGGAGGAAAGGCUGGUACUGGAGCAAUCGGGAGCAAUCCCAGACCACAGUGGAUGAAAGGAGGUCCCUAUGUUGUUGUACAUUAGAUUGUUUUUUAAAAAAUGGCUUUCCUGCUGCGUUUCUGUGACUAGUAAGUUUCAAAUCUACUCAACUGCUUCCAUUUCCCUUUUUUUUUUUUUU